AGCGAACGCUGGCGGCAGGCCUAACACAUGCAAGUCGAACGAAGUCUUCGGACUUAGUGGCGGACGGGUGAGUAACACGUGGGAACGUGCCUUUAGGUUCGGAAUAACUCAGGGAAACUUGUGCUAAUACCGAAUGUGCCCUUCGGGGGAAAGAUUUAUCGCCUUUAGAGGGGCCCGCGUCUGAUUAGCUAGUUGGUGAGGUAAAGGCUCACCAAGGCUACGAUCAGUAGCUGGUCUGAGAGGAUGACCAGCCACAUUGGGACUGAGACAAGGCCCAAACUCCUACGGGAGGCAGCAGUGGUGAAUCUUGCGCAAUGGGCGAAAGCCUGACGCAGCCAUGCCGCGUGGAUGAUGAAGGUCUUAGGAUUGUAAAAUCCUUUCACCGGUGAAGAUAAUGACUGUAGCCGGAGAAGAAGCCCCGGCUAACUUCGUGCCAGCCGCCGCGGUAAGAC
rnacentral:rRNA from 1 species